GGGGGCGUAGUUUAAUGGUAGAACUGGUCUCUCCAAAAGAUCUGAUGGGAGUUCGAUUCUCUCCGCCCCUG
rnacentral:tRNA from 1 species